GUUAAAAAUAUAUAUUUAACAUGGGUGACGAAUUGACUAUAUCAGGUGUCGAUUUAACCAAGUGCCGAUUUGACUAUCCGGGUGCCAAUUUAACCAGGAGCCGGUUUGACUAUAAUUGUCUGAUAUUACCUGAGUUUCAUUAGACCUUUGAUAACAGUAACAAAAAGAUUAUUUACCUAAAAUUUUGUGGGGAGAAGGGGGUUCGGACUAUGUACCAGUGAGAAAUAUACAA
rnacentral:lncRNA from 1 species